AGCAGUCGCCGCGGUAAUACGGAGGGUGCAAGCGUUAAUCGGAAUUACUGGGCGUAAAGCGCACGCAGGCGGUUUGUUAAGUCAGAUGUGAAAUCCCCGAGCUUAACUUGGGAACUGCAUUUGAAACUGGCAAGCUAGAGUCUUGUAGAGGGGGGUAGAAUUCCAGGUGUAGCGGUGAAAUGCGUAGAGAUCUGGAGGAAUACCGGUGGCGAAGGCGGCCCCCUGGACAAAGACUGACGCUCAGGUGCGAAAGCGUGGGGAGCAAACAGGAUUAGAUACCCCUGUAGUCCCUGUCUCUUAUAA
rnacentral:rRNA from 1 species